CGGCGGACGGCUGAGUAACGCGUAGGAACGUACCCCAAACUGAGGGAUAAGCACCAGAAAUGGUGUCUAAUACCGCAUGUGGUCUUCGGAUUAAAGCUUCGGCGGUUUGGGAGCGGCCUGCGUAUGAUUAGCUUGUUGGUAGGGUAAUGGCCUACCAAGGCGACGAUCAUUAGCUGGUCUGAGAGGAUGAUCAGCCAGACUGGGACUGAGAACGGCCCAG
rnacentral:rRNA from 1 species